CAGAGCUUCUAAGCCUGGAGGGUUUACUCUCCAGGCAAGAACUCCACCCUUUGUUUACAUUACCUUUGUUGCUUUAGCAGGCCCGCUUUAGGGCCGCCGGCAAUAGCUGGUCAGCGCCUGCUAGAGGACCUAAAACUCAUGUUAAUAAUAUUGUCUGAGUACUAUAAUAAUAGUUA
rnacentral:misc_RNA from 1 species